CAGUAGCCGCGGUAACACAGAGGGUGCGAGCGUUAAUCGGAUUUACUGGGCGUAAAGCGUGCGUAGGCGGCUUCUUAAGUCGGAUGUGAAAUCCCUGAGCUUAACUUAGGAAUUGCAUUCGAUACUGGGAAGCUAGAGUAUGGGAGAGGAUGGUAGAAUUCCUGGUGUAGCGGUGAAAUGCGUAGAGAUCUGGAGGAAUACCGAUGGCGAAGGCAGCCAUCUGGCCUAAUACUGACGCUGAGGUACGAAAGCAUGGGGAGCAAACAGGAUUAGAUACCCCCGUAGUCCCUGUCUCUUAUAC
rnacentral:rRNA from 1 species